AGGUCAGAAGAUUAUUCCAGCCCAAGAAACCUCUUGGUCUGAGGGUACACUCAUAGGACUAUUGGAGAGCUGUGCUCUCUAUGGGAGUGAAGAUCAUUUUGUUGCUUGCUAUUUGGAUGUUCAGCAAUGAGAAGAGUCAGACUUGUCAAAGGCUGGCCAGCAGAAGCUUGGCACAGACUCUCUAGGAUUUCAUGCUGCUCCCUGAGGGGGAGGACAUUGCUGAGUAGUGUCAGAGCUAGCUCCCCACAAAAAGGAUACCAAGCUGGGAAAUGAGAACUCAGUUCCCUUGUCAUCUUUAGUCAGCCUCUGGUAAAUAAAAACUUGGUGAAAUGGUCAUUGACUGCAGUCCUGCACCAUGCUUUUCCUCUGGGGACUCAGUGGGCUUUAUUGGCUUCUGUUUCAUGCAUAACACAGGUGAGGAAAGAGUCCAGGCCCAGCCUGGAAAUCCUAAGAUGCAUAGGUCCACAUCAAAGGGACACAGGUAACAGCAAAGCCGGCAGAUUGAGACAUUGACAGAGGAGGGUUUAGAGACCAUAAACUUGUUCUUUGGAAACUAGAACUUAGAACUGGCUUCAGCGCUGAACAUGCCUAGAGGUAUGAGUUCCUAUGAAUGAAGAAUAAGAAUCUAACAAGUAUGGUGGCACAUCUGUCCUUACAGGGAUCCUCAUAGCCAAGGAUUCUGGAUUUGAACAAGUCAGUCUCCAGCUAUGUUUCAGAGUCUGAAGACUGCCUGUCAUCCCUUAGAACUUCUCUCUGGGCCACUGGCUUGAAGGGCACAUCUCAGGGAAGAAGUUCAGUGUGAUUCCCUUCUUUGUGGAAAGACCUCAGUAGCCAAGUGUUUGCCUGCGUUAUUUGUCUGAACAAGAUCUUCUCUAGGACAACUAGGUCCACAGGACAGCACCAAGAGUUACUCUGCAUGCUUAUAGUACCAGCUUCAGAACAGAAACAGAGGCAAUAUUCACAUGAAAGCUCAAAUGUGGAUCUCUCCUACCAUAGUCACAUCUUCACAAGCUGACAGUCCUCUCAAUUCUGAGAUUUGUUAUUCAGCCUUUUCCCAAUAGGAUCUACAAAGUACCUCUUGACCAUUUACCAUGCAUGGAACCAACAUGCCAAAUUCCUCAAAAACCGAUUCCAGCCUGGGAUCACGCUCAUUGACUAGCUCUACCAAUUCUUACAAUUCAUUCAGGCUCUGCUACAAGCAUACAGCUUUGCUAGAAGUGUAUUUCUGCUAGGAAAUUUGACGCUACUGAGAGGUUGUGUGGCAGAGCCAUGCUGCCCAUUCUUCCAGCAUGACUUGAGAACUAAGAUGAACACUAUCCCAAGUAGGUGCCUCCUUGACAACUUACACUACAAAGUGAAUCAUAAUCCUGAUCCUGGAGACUUCUAUAAUGGGCUCCUGUGAGAUUUCUAUUUGUAGAACCCAGAAUUCACAACGGAACAUCAUCAAAACAUCCAAAAGACAAGUUUCAAUGAACAGAUUCUCAGCAAAAGGACUCCAAGGAUGCAGAGAAAGGGAAAUGGCCCAAUCUGGGAAGGCAGGUGCAUAGAAGAGUUACUAUAGCAGGACACUCACUUGAACUUGGGUUGUGUGCGGGUUCCCACCACUCCCUGUUGAGAAUGACUCAUUGUGCCCAAGUCACUUGUGCAAACAAUAUGAACACCUUUUCUUGGCAUUUGGAAUUUGAAUAGGUACUAAAGCAGAGGAUGCCUAUUGUGGCUAGACCUCAAUUAAAACCUUAGGUGCUGAGUUUCUAACAGGCUUCCCUGGCAGAAGAUGACACAUCAUGAGUUGUACUCAUAGCUGGGGAAUUAAGCCUGUGCUGGGUGACCACACUGUGAGAGGGCAAUCAAGCUUGUAUUUUCUUCCAGACCUUGCCCCAGUGCCUUUUCUCUUAGCUGAUUGUGCUUCGGAUCUUUCAUUGUGUAAGUAAUAGCCAUCAGUGCAGCCAUGGCUGUACUGUGAGUCCUACUUGUGAAUCAUUGACACUGGGUAGAGUUUGGAGAUCCCAACACAGUGGGUUCCUAAUUUUGGCCUGGAAACAGCACAAUCUCAAUUUCUAAAGAACUACAUACGUUUUGUUAACUAAGACAGUCACAGGCAGGUCCUUUGGGAGGCAUUCCAGAAGGAUGCAUUGUAAUCAUAGGAGAUGACAACCCCAUCCAUGUUACUGCCUCUGAAGAUCUAGUGGGACCAGGUGUAGAGGUCUUUACAUUCACUGACUCACAGCAGCUUCCAGUCCUGCAGGCACCAUUCAUGCACCGUUGGGUUAGGGUCUCCCCAACUGAACUGGUCUCGGCAAGUGGCGUCCAUCAUGGGGGCUCAAAUCCAGGUCUAAGAGUCACCGGAGUGACGGCUGGAGAACUUGGAACUAGCUGGAGGACACCCGAGUACUCUUAAAGCAAUCCCUGUGACGGGUCUAUAAUGGUAAAUCAUCUUAUUCUGGAUCAAAAGGUAAAGUUUUCCAGACGUCCUAUACUUCAGCUCAAAAAGCAGAGCUUGUAGCAGUAACUGAGGUAUUGAAUGCUUUUGAUAGCCUAUUAAUGUGAUUUCUGAUUCUUCAUAUGUGGUUCAUUCCAGUUAAUCGAAAAUGCUCGAUUACGAUUUCAUACAGAUAGAAAACUGAUGACAUUAUUUACCCAACUGCAAACAGCAGUUAGGAGUAAAAUGCAUCCUUUUCCCAUCACUCACAUUAGGGCUCAUACACCCCCCUUCCAGGAUCUUUAACUGAAGGGAAUCAAAUGGCUGAUCACCUAGUUGCUAAUGCAAUAUCUAAUGCUAGACACUUUCACAAUUUAACCCAUGUUAAUGCCUCUGGUCUCAAACGUAGAUACAGCAUUACCUGGAAAGAAACUAAAACUUAUCCAGUGAUGCCCAACUUGCCAAGUGGUACAUUCAUCUUUUACCGGCAUUAAUCCUUGAGGAUUGGAACCUAACUCUCCUUGGCAAAUGUCACAUUUGACAUCCUCGUUUGGGAGACUAGCUUGUGUACAUGUGUGGACACCUUUUCUCACUUGGGGCUACGUGCCAAACAGGAGAGCCUUCUGCCUGUGUUAAAUGUCAUCUUUUGCAGUGUUUUGUGGUGAUGGGCAUUCCAGCUUCUAUUAACACAGAUAAUGCCCCAGGCUAUACUAGCCAAGCUCUAGCUACAUUUCUCUCUAUGUGGAAUGUUUAACACAUUACUGGUAUCCCAAUAUAAUUCUCAAGGAAAAGCCAUAGUGGAAAGAAUGAAACUUUCCCCAAAACAGCAGUUGCAACAGCAGAAAGGGGGGAAAUAGAAUAUGGAACCCCAUAGAUGCAACUGAAUCUAGCAUUAUUAACUUUAAAUUUUUUGAGCCUGCCCAAAGGCAGAUGUUACCAGCAGUUGAACAGCAUCUACAGAAACCAGUUGCAAAGACAGAAGUAGAACAACUGAUUUGGUAGAGAGAUCCAACAACAAAAAGUUGGGAAAUAGGUAAAAUAACUUGGGGUAGAGGUUAUGCUUGUGUUUCUCCAGGCCAAAAUCAACAGCUGAUUUGGAUACCAUCAAGACACCUGAAACCUUAUCAUGAGCCAGAUGCCGAGGAAGAGAUUUCUAGAGGAUCCCAAGGACCCCCUGGUUGCAGCCAUGUUGAGAUGGAUGCUGAAGAGGACCCCAACUGUCACGAGCAACACCCAAACACAACCACCCACCUGGGAACAGAACAAGAAGCUGUCACAGAUGGUGGAAGAAAACCUGAGUAAAGCAGGACCACCAGUCACAAUAAAUAAUUUAAUGAUAGCUAUGAUAGUAGUUAUCACCACUGCCGUGAAUAUUUCUUCAAUGAGAGCUGACAGAACAAUUAUACGUAUUGGAUAUAUUUGUCAAUCUUGGCUGGUAAUAAUGCCUGGAUUUAAUCACUCUAUGACAGUUACACAUGCUUUCUGAUCUCAGUAUUUACCAUAAUAAAUCUGCUCCUAUAAUAGA